rnacentral:rRNA from 1 species
GACGAACGCUGGCGGCGUGCCUAAUACAUGCAAGUAGAACGCUGAAGGAGGAGCUUGCUUCUCUGGAUGAGUUGCGAACGGGUGAGUAACGCGUAGGUAACCUGCCUGGUAGCGGGGUAUAACUAUUGGAAACGAUAGCUAAUACCGCAUAAGAGUAGAUGUUGCAUGACAUUUGCUUAAAAGGUGCAAUUGCAUCACUACCAGAUGGACCUGCGUUGUAUUAGCUAGUUGGUGGGGUAACGGCUCACCAAGGCGACGAUACAUAGCCGACCGGAGAGGGGGGUCGGCCACACUGGGACUGAGACACGGCCCAGACUCCUACGGGAGGCAGCAGUAGGGAAUCUUCGGCAAUGGACGGAAGUCUGACCGAGCAACGCCGCGUGAGUGAAGAAGGUUUUCGGAUCGUAAAGCUCUGUUGUAAGAGAAGAACGAGUGUGAGAGUGGAAAGUUCACACUGUGACGGUAUCUUACCAGAAAGGGACGGCUAACUACGUG